UCCGGACUGACUCCGGUCACCGGAACAAUGAAAUAUACCAGGCUUGGCAUAUAGGAGUGUUACAACACCCGCUUUAGGGUAAGGUAAAUUGUUCCACCAAUUACAUGCAACUAAUCUGUUUCAAGAGCGCACCACAACCAUCAUGUAUGCUUGCCCUUCAGAGGUCUCAAGUACAAUAGCACGUUUCAAUGUACAAACUAAUUGACAUUUAGUGGAAUAUGCUAAACUAAAAUGUCCAAGUUUAUUAUUCACAUUCAUUAUUACCACAAUAUCAAAUCAGUCAAGAAGUGAAGAUGCAGAACUUAUUUAUUAUAC
rnacentral:misc_RNA from 1 species